rnacentral:rRNA from 1 species
GAUGAACGCUCGCGGCAGGCUUAAUACAUGCAAGUCGUGGGGCAGCAGGACUGUAGCAAUACAUUUGCUGGCGACCGGCAAACGGGUGCGGCACACGUACGCAACUUACCCUGAACUGGGGGAUAGCCCGGGGAAACCCGGAUUAAUACCCCGUAAUAUAGUUGCGUGGCAUCACUUUAUUAUUAAAGCUCCGUCGGUUCGGGAUGGGCGUGCGGCUGAUUAGGUAGUUGGUUGAGGUAACGGCUCACCAAGCCUACGAUCAGCAACUGGUGUGAGAGCACGACCAGUCAGACGGGGACUGAGAAACGGGCCCGACUCCUACGGGAGGCAGCAGUAAGGAAUAUUGGGCAAUGGAGGAAACUCUGACCCAGCCAUGCCGGGUGGAGGAAGGAGGCCCUCGGGGUUGUAAACUUCUUUUAUAGGGGACGAAACCUGUGUAUUCUUACGCAGUUGACGGUACCCUAGGAAUAAGCACCGGCUAACUCCGUG